rnacentral:rRNA from 1 species
AUACGUAGGGCGCGAGCGUUGUCCGGAAUUACUGGGUGUAAAGGGAGCGUAGGCGGGAGUGCAAGUCAGAUGUGAAAUACAUGGGCUCAACCCAUGGGCUGCAUUUGAAACUGCAUUUCUUGAGUGAAGUAGAGGUAAGCGGAAUUCCUGGUGUAGCGGUGAAAUGCGUAGAUAUCAGGAGGAACACCGGUGGCGAAGGCGGCUUACUGGGCUUUUACUGACGCUGAGGCUCGAAAGCGUGGGGAGCAAACAGGAUUAGAUACCCUGGUAGUCCACGCUGUAAACGAUGAUUACUAGGUGUGGGGGGACUGACCCCUUCCGUGCCGCAGUUAACACAAUAAGUAUACCGCCUGGGGAGUACGGCCGCAAGGUUGAAACUCAAAUGAAUUGACGGGG